UUGUUGCCAAGAUAAACGGAUUCUGGGCUGGCCGGUUCUCCUGCACAGAUGAAACUCUGUCCGUAUUCUUAAUGCUGAAAGUUCUUUUUUGAGUUCUAGACAGAGCUGGCAAAGAUUCCCUUUUCAAACAUGCCUUACUUGACUCCAGUAAAUUGCAGUGGGUAGAGACAACAAAAGACAUUUAGUGCCUAAUGCAGAAAAAACAACAAUUGGCCUUCAUAUCAGAUGGUGUUUCCCAAGUUGCUGGUGAGAAAGCCAAGUACAACUAUUGUAUCUUGGAAGCAAAGUACUUUCAUUUGCAUCUGCAGGAAACAAGCACCAUCUGUACACGUGCAUAACAGAAGAUAUGAAUCAUAAAACACAGUUGCAACCAUAGUUAUCUGUUUUGAAAGCCCAAGGAAACACAGAGAAAAGUGUUGCAAUUCAUGGGCAGAUGAGAACCAAUAAAGCACAGCGCAGAAGGCAGUCACUGUUGGCAGAAUCAGCAAGUCCAUGAGAUCAUGAAACUGGAAGCUUGCAUGAGAAACUGGAAUUGGACACCCAAAGGCUUUCCAAAACAAGCAAGCAAGUGAGCCAAAUCAACUGUUUGAAAAUUUUACCUUUUGCCCUACAACUCCCAUAAUUCUUAGAAGGACAUUAUAGAAAUUCUCCCAAAAGUAACUUGUUUAGCAGCUGACAGACAUCGCUUGUUUGAGGAUAUCACUGAAACUUUAAGAAAGAUAAAGAAUCUCUGGCUUCUGCGGUGCUGUGGGAAGUAAACAUCGAUAGUGACAAAAUAAUUCAGAGAAAACCCAGAAAGCUGAGACCAUGUGUGGUUUUUAGUUUCCUGCUGUAAUGUUUUAAUUGAUAUGAAGCUGUAGCUGCUUUCUUAUAUGUAAUUGAUCAUCUCAAUUACCCUGAUAAAAACCACUACCUG